UUCAACCCUCCAAGCCCUGCUUGGUGGUUGGGGCUCCGUACGGCUGCCGUAGGCCCUGAAAGCUAGUGGCGGGCUCGCUAUAACUCCGAGCGUAGUAGUAAAAUAUCUCGCUAGGGAGGUGUCGCGGGUUCCGGCCGUGAAAGCCCCAUCUUUUACACAAGGUUGACCUCGGAUCAGGUAGGAAUACCCGCUGAACUUAA
rnacentral:misc_RNA from 1 species